GACGAACGCUGGCGGCGCGCUUAACACAUGCAAGUCGAGCGAAGCGGCGGACGGGUGAGUAUCACGUGAGUAACCUACCUUAGACAUUGGGAUAGCCUCGGGAAACCGGGUUUAAUACCAAAUGGUCUAAGAUGGACUCGGGUCCCAUUUGCUAGUUGGUGAGGUAACGGCCCACCAAGGCGACGAUGGGUAGCCGGCCUGAGAGGGUAAACGGCCACAGUGGAACUGAGAAACGGUCCAAACUCUACGGGAGGCAGCAGUGGGGAAUAGUGCACAAGGGAGGGAGCUCUGAGGCAGCGACGCCGCGUGAACGAGGAAGGCUUUCGAGUCGUAAAGUUCUUUGAUAUGGGAAGCGGUACCAUAAGAAAAAGCCCCGGCUAACUACGUGCCAGCAGCCGCGGUAAUUC
rnacentral:rRNA from 1 species